rnacentral:rRNA from 1 species
UACAGAGGGUGCGAGCGUUGUCCGGAAUCACUGGGCGUAAAGGGCGCGUAGGCGGCCACCGCAAGUCGAUUGUGAAAUCUCCGGGCUUAACCCGGAAAGGUCAACCGAUACUGCGGGGCUAGAGUGCAGAAGGGGCAACUGGAAUUCUCGGUGUAGCGGUGAAAUGCGUAGAUAUCGAGAGGAACACCUGCGGCGAAGGCGGGUUGCUGGGCUGACACUGACGCUGAGGCGCGAAAGCUAGGGGAGCGAACGGG